rnacentral:tRNA from 1 species
CCCUGGGUGGCACAAAUGUUUAAGCACUUGACUACCAACCAAAAGACUGGUGGUUCAAACCCACCCACAGGUC